CCUACGGGAGGCAGCAGUAGGGAAUCUUCCACAAUGGGCGAAAGCCUGAUGGAGCAACGCCGCGUGCAGGAUGAAGGCCUUCGGGUUGUAAACUGCUUUUAUAAGCGAGAAAUAUGAUGGUAACUUAUGAAUAAGGAUCGGCUAACUACGUGCCAGCAGCCGCGGUCAUACGUAGGAUCCGAGCAUUAUCCGGAGUGACUGGGUGUAAAGAGUUGCGUAGGUGGCAUAAUAAGUAGCUAGUGAAAUCUGGUGGCUCAACCAUUCAGACUAUUAGCGAAACUGUUAAGCUCGAGACCGUUAGGGGUAACUGGAAUUUCUAGUGUAGGAGUGAAAUCCGUAGAUAUUAGAAGGAACACCAACGGCGUAGGCAGGUUGCUGGGACGGUUCUGACACUAAGGCACGAAAGCGUAGGGAGCAAACGGGAUUAGAUACCCUUGUAGUC
rnacentral:rRNA from 1 species